UUAAGCGACUAAGCGUACACGGUGGAUGCCCUGGCAGUCAGAGGCGAUGAAGGGCGUGCUAAUCUGCGAUAAGCGCCGGUAAGGUGAUAUGAACCGUUAUAACCGGCGAUACCCGAAUGGGAAACCCAGUGUGAUUCGUCACACUAUCAUUAACUGAAUCCAUAGGUUAAUGAGGCGAACCGGGGGAACUGAAACAUCUAAGUACCCCGAGGAAAAGAAAUCAACCGAGAUUCCCCAGUAGCGGCGAGCGAACGGGGAGGAGCCCAGAGCCUGAAUCAGCAUGUGUGUUAGUGGAAGCGUCUGGAAAGGCGCGCGAUACAGGGUGACAGCCCCGUACACAAAAGCGCACAUGCUGUGAGCUCGAUGAGUAGGGCGGGACACGUGGUAUCCUGUCUGAAUAUGGGGGGACCAUCCUCCAAGGCUAAAUACUCCUGACUGACCGAUAGUGAACCAGUACCGUGAGGGAAAGGCGAAAAGAACCCCGGCGAGGGGAGUGAAAAAGAACCUGAAACCGUGUACGUACAAGCAGUGGGAGCACCCUUUGGGGUGUGACUGCGUACCUUUUGUAUAAUGGGUCAGCGACUUAUAUUCUGUAGCAAGGUUAACCGUAUAGGGGAGCCGGAGGGAAACCGAGUCUUAACCGGGCGUUAAGUUGCAGGGUAUAGACCCGAAACCCGGUGAUCUAGCCAUGGGCAGGUUGAAGGUUGGGUAACACUAACUGGAGGACCGAACCGACUAAUGUUGAAAAAUUAGCGGAUGACCUGUGGCUGGGGGUGAAAGGCCAAUCAAACCGGGAGAUAGCUGGUUCUCCCCGAAAGCUAUUUAGGUAGCGCCUCGUGAAUUCAUCUCCGGGGGUAGAGCACUGUUUCGGCUAGGGGGCCAUCCCGGCUUACCAACCCGAUGCAAACUGCGAAUACCGGAGAAUGUUAUCACGGGAGACACACGGCGGGUGCUAACGUCCGUCGUGAAGAGGGAAACAACCCAGACCGCCAGCUAAGGUCCCAAAGUCAUGGUUAAGUGGGAAACGAUGUGGGAAGGCCCAGACAGCCAGGAUGUUGGCUUAGAAGCAGCCAUCAUUUAAAGAAGCGUAAUAGCUCACUGGUCGAGUCGGCCUGCGCGGAAGAUGUAACGGGGCUAAACCAUGCACCGAAGCUGCGGCAGCGACGCUGAUGCGUUGUUGGGUAGGGGAGCGUUCUGUAAGCCUGUGAAGGUGGCCUGUGAGGGUUGCUGGAGGUAUCAGAAGUGCGAAUGCUGACAUAAGUAACGAUAAAGCGGGUGAAAAGCCCGCUCGCCGGAAGACCAAGGGUUCCUGUCCAACGUUAAUCGGGGCAGGGUGAGUCGACCCCUAAGGCGAGGCCGAAAGGCGUAGUCGAUGGGAAACGGGUUAAUAUUCCCGUACUUGGUGUUACUGCGAAGGGGGGACGGAGAAGGCUAUGUUGGCCGGGCGACGGUUGUCCCGGUUUAAGCGUGUAGGUGUGUGUUCCAGGUAAAUCCGGUUCACUUUAACACUGAGGCGUGAUGACGAGGCACUACGGUGCUGAAGCAACAAAUGCCCUGCUUCCAGGAAAAGCCUCUAAGCAUCAGGUAACAUCAAAUCGUACCCCAAACCGACACAGGUGGUCAGGUAGAGAAUACCAAGGCGCUUGAGAGAACUCGGGUGAAGGAACUAGGCAAAAUGGUGCCGUAACUUCGGGAGAAGGCACGCUGACAUGUAGGUGAAGUGAUUUACUCACGGAGCUGAAGUCAGUCGAAGAUACCAGCUGGCUGCAACUGUUUAUUAAAAACACAGCACUGUGCAAACACGAAAGUGGACGUAUACGGUGUGACGCCUGCCCGGUGCCGGAAGGUUAAUUGAUGGGGUCAGCGCAAGCGAAGCUCCUGAUCGAAGCCCGGUAAACGGCGGCCGUAACUAUAACGGUCCUAAGGUAGCGAAAUUCCUUGUCGGGUAAGUUCCGACCUGCACGAAUGGCGUAAUGAUGGCCAGGCUGUCUCCACCCGAGACUCAGUGAAAUUGAACUCGCUGUGAAGAUGCAGUGUACCCGCGGCAAGACGGAAAGACCCCGUGAACCUUUACUAUAGCUUGACACUGAACAUUGAGCCUUGAUGUGUAGGAUAGGUGGGAGGCUUUGAAGUGUGGACGCCAGUCUGCAUGGAGCCGACCUUGAAAUACCACCCUUUAAUGUUUGAUGUUCUAACGUGGACCCGUGAUCCGGGUUGCGGACAGUGUCUGGUGGGUAGUUUGACUGGGCGGUCUCCUCCUAAAGAGUAACGGAGGAGCACGAAGGUUGGCUAAUCCUGGUCGGACAUCAGGAGGUUAGUGCAAUGGCAUAAGCCAGCUUGACUGCGAGCGUGACGGCGCGAGCAGGUGCGAAAGCAGGUCAUAGUGAUCCGGUGGUUCUGAAUGGAAGGGCCAUCGCUCAACGGAUAAAAGGUACUCCGGGGAUAACAGGCUGAUACCGCCCAAGAGUUCAUAUCGACGGCGGUGUUUGGCACCUCGAUGUCGGCUCAUCACAUCCUGGGGCUGAAGUAGGUCCCAAGGGUAUGGCUGUUCGCCAUUUAAAGUGGUACGCGAGCUGGGUUUAGAACGUCGUGAGACAGUUCGGUCCCUAUCUGCCGUGGGCGCUGGAGAACUGAGGGGGGCUGCUCCUAGUACGAGAGGACCGGAGUGGACGCAUCACUGGUGUUCGGGUUGUCAUGCCAAUGGCACUGCCCGGUAGCUAAAUGCGGAAGAGAUAAGUGCUGAAAGCAUCUAAGCACGAAACUUGCCCCGAGAUGAGUUCUCCCUGAGACUUAGAGUCUCCUGAAGGAACGUUGAAGACGACGACGUUGAUAGGCCGGGUGUGUAAGCGCAGCGAUGCGUUGAGCUAACCGGUACUAAUGAACCGUGAGGCUUAACCUU
rnacentral:rRNA from 1 species